UACGAAAGGGGGCUAGCGUUGCUCGGAAUCACUGGGCGUAAAGCGCACGUAGGCGGACUCUUAAGUCGGUGGUGAAAUCCUGGAGCUCAACUCCAGAACUGCCUUUGAUACUGAAGAUCUUGAGUUCGGGAGAGGUGAGUGGAACUGCGAGUGUAGAGGUGAAAUUCGUAGAUAUUCGCAAGAACACCAGUGGCGAAGGCGAGUCCCUGGACAACACCUGACACUGAGGCACGAAAGCUAGGGGAGCAAACAGG
rnacentral:rRNA from 1 species